GUCGCAAGGCUGGUGUCAGGCCCCAACACCUCGCCGCUGGCCUCACCUCAUCUCCUCACAAGGCAUUUUAUCAGCUCGCGGCAUCGCCAGAAGGAAAAGGAUGUUCUCUAGACCUGGGUCAGAGCGGGUUCCGCUUCAUGGAAAACCCGGAGCCAUGCCUUCUUUCCAUCUCUGGGAAUGCAGCUCUCCUCUGGAGUAGGUCAUUCUUACCUGUCUGUCUAAGACCACCAAUUACCUGAUGAAACCAUGGGAGAAUGU